GACGAACGCUGGCGGCGUGCUUAACACAUGCAAGUCGAACGGAAAGGCCCUGCUUUUGUGGGGUGCUCGAGUGGCGAACGGGUGAGUAACACGUGAGUAACCUGCCCUUGACUUUGGGAUAACUUCAGGAAACUGGGGCUAAUACCGGAUAGGAGCUCCUGCUGCAUGGUGGGGGUUGGAAAGUUUCGGCGGUUGGGGAUGGACUCGCGGCUUAUCAGCUUGUUGGUGGGGUAGUGGCUUACCAAGGCUUUGACGGGUAGCCGGCCUGAGAGGGUGACCGGCCACAUUGGGACUGAGAUACGGCCCAGACUCCUACGGGAGGCAGCAGUGGGGAAUAUUGCACAAUGGGCGGAAGCCUGAUGCAGCAACGCCGCGUGCGGGGUGACGGCCUUCGGGUUGUAAACCGCUUUCGCCUGUGACGAAGCGUGAAUGACGGUAAUGGGUAAAGAAGCACCGGCUAACUACGUG
rnacentral:rRNA from 1 species